rnacentral:rRNA from 1 species
AUUGAACGCUGGCGGAAUGCUUUACACAUGCAAGUCGAGCGGCAGCGCGGGGCAACCUGGCGGCGAGCGGCGAACGGGUGAGUAAUGUAUCGGAACGUAUCCUUAAGUGGGGGACAACUAGUCGAAAGACUAGCUAAUACCGCAUACGAUCGAGAGAUGAAAGUGGGGGACCGCAAGGCCUCACGCUUUUGGAGCGGCCGAUAUCCGAUUAGCUUGUUGGUGAGGUAAAGGCUUACCAAGGCUAUGAUCGGUAGCUGGUCUGAGAGGAUGAUCAGCCACACUGGGACUGAGACACGGCCCAGACUCCUACGGGAGGCAGCAGUGGGGAAUUUUGGACAAUGGGGCAACCCUGAUCCAGCCAUUCCGCGUGAGUGAAGAAGGCCUUCGGGUUGUAAAGCUCUUUUGUCGGGGUACGAAACGGGUUUCACCUAAUACGUAGUAGACUACUGACGGUACCCGAAGAAUAAGCACCGGCUAACUACGUAGCCAAGCAGCCGCGGUAAAGUACUCUA